CGCAAGUAACCGAACAGAGCAGUUCAGCAGCUAUGUCCCUUCCUAUUGAAGAUAUACAAGAAAAUCAGCUCCCAAUAAUGGAGAACUUGGAGGAACAGGAAAACAAGGAAAUAGAGAAGACUGAGAAGAGACUCACCUACUUGAGGAAUUAUUCACUUCUUGAGAAGUUUGAUGAUUUAUACGAUGACCUUCAACUAGAGAUCUCUGAG